GGGAAUUUAGCUCAGUGGCAUAAGCACCUGCCUGGCAAGCAUGAGGUGGUGAGUUCAAUCCUCAGUACCCC
rnacentral:tRNA from 1 species